UUUUACGUGAACAACACCAGCGGCGUGCUGCUGACAUGAUAAUACAAUUUAAUAUUUAGAGGCGCUGCAGUUGCAACAGAGUGUGCUUUCUUGUUUUUAUUUCACAAUCGUAAAUGUUAAACAGCAACACUUGGCACAGCUAAAGACAAAAAAAAUGUUAUAAACAUGGCUGUCAUUACUGCACUUGUGUCUUCACAGGUUGAGAACAGUGUUUAAUGUAGAGACUCACCUCCAAGGCACACACGUCUAUUCAAUUGAAUAUGAGUGUGAACGACUCACGCUGUCGUCGUGGGGGUUCCAUGGACCACCAAGGAAGGACGUGCUUGUUCAGAAUCACUGUGGAGAGGCGGAGCCGACGGUCCGACAGAGAGGCAGGGCACGCCCAAGAUGGCGGCGAAGAGGCGGGGAUGGCGAACGAGCGGCGAGGCGGGGCGUGCCGGGAGCGACGCCACAAAUGAGAUCAGGUGUGUGGAUCACGCACCUGUACACAAUUAAUGUAUCUCCUCUCGCUGUAUAAAAUGGGAGAAGGAGAUGAGAACGAGGCUGGUUAUGGUACGAAGCGAGAGCAACCCAAACAACGGAGGAACGCGAGGGAGAGACGACAACACAAGCAGCAGCGCGUGCAACCCGGAAGAGAGCGACAGCGAGAGGGAGACGCAGACAACGGGGAAGGCUGAAAAGCAACACGCAAAACACUUUGCUUAUUGUAAAAUAAAGAAG